AACAAAGUCAUCAUGGGUGUUCCCUGUGCUGCUGCCACUGGAGCCCUCCGAGUGUAAGCUGCCUUGUAGAGGAGAUUCAGUUUCUGGGGAGUCAGGAGGAUUGACCUGGCCAAGAAAUCAAAGAUGGUAUGUGCUGCACCCUUAGAAUAAAGGGGACCCAGACUGAGGUGCAAUUCAAACACACUGAUAUGAAGAGAGAACUCCAUCAACCAGAGUGAUGUUCCAGAGUUUUCAGAUUAGGACAGCUUUGUUUCUGUGUAUUGCUCAUGGACAGACUUUCUCCUGAAUUUUUGGCUAGUUAACAACAUAAAGACAUGCUAUGCAAGCUCGCAGGGAGAAAGAGUUAAAAAAGUCUGGUUUCCCUUACCUGAGAUGGAGGAGAGGUAGAAAAAGAUGUGGUACACACUUCUUGGGAAUCUUCUACU